rnacentral:rRNA from 1 species
GACGAACCGUGCGAACGUUAUUCGGAAUCACUGGGCUUAAAGAGCGCGUAGGCGGCGUCGUAAGUCGGAGGUGAAAUCCCAUCGGCUCAACCGUGGAACUGCCCCCGAUACUGCGACGCUUGAGGAAGAUAGGGGCACGUGGAACUUCCAGUGGAGCGGUGAAAUGUGUUGAGAUUGGAAGGAACGCCAGUGGCGAAAGCGGCGUGCUGGGUCUUCUCUGACGCUGUGGCGCGAAAGCUAGGGGAGCAAACGGG